GGGGACGUAGUAUAACCUGGCUAGAAUAGUUGGCUCCAGACCAACGGAUUGGGGUUCGAAUCCCCACGUCCCCA
rnacentral:tRNA from 1 species